CCACUACAGUAGAAUCUCCAGCUUGGCAAAUACCUAGAAGAAACCCUGAAUAAACUGCACUUAACCCUAAUUCUCUGGAGAAGGAAGAAUCUAAUAUAGCAGGCCAACAUGUCUAACUUGGAUCAAGAGAAGGAAAUGGGAAUUACACCAGUUUGGCUCCUGCUGAAGUUAGCAAAUAUACAGUUUAUUCAUCACAAAUAUUAGCUUCACUGAAAUUCAGAUAGUUCAAAAUACUGUUGCAGUCAAGGUUUUGGACAUCUUUGCUAAAUAUAAAAUUAAAAUGCUGCAUCUAAGAAGGAGAACUUAACUGGAAACCACUGCCUGGCUGAACUGCUGUUACAGUUUCUUCUUGGGACUGCUUCAGAAGCCAACCUCUUGGUAAUUAGAUCUUCUACCUUCUUUGCCUCUAAAGAUUACAAAAAAAAAACUUUCUUGGAUGCUAGUAAAGAGAUUAUUUUACAGUCAAUGAUGGAACAGUCACUGCAGUUUCAACCUCUACUGAACAGAGAGGUUCAGUAGAGAGAACAUGUUUGUAAGCUGCCUUCUUCCUUCUGAAGGAAAGAACUUGAAACAUCCAUUGGUUUAGCAUUAUGAAAACAUCAGCUGGCUCCUAUCAGUUUCUGUUAUUUUCUAUUGGAGAACUGAUGAAAGUCCUGACCAACUUCCAGAUUUUUUUUAAAUACACCUGGUUUUAAGGAAGAACAACAAAAAAGUAAAUCUAUCUGAAAUAUCUCUGAGACUCAGUAUAUUUUGUCAUCACUACCCCGCUGAGUUUGAUAUGUGGAUAAACCUAAGCAUGUAUAUAAGUAUGAGAACAUCCAUGAACUUCUGCCAAAAGUGAAUGUAAAUGUUUCUGAAAAUGAGAAACAUCUUAAUAAGCACCAGAGGAAGUCCCCCACAUCUCUCAACAUUUCAGUAAUGUCAAGAAAGGAUAUAAGUAUGAUCAUCAGAACACUGGCCGAUUGGUUAUAUAACAUACUAUAUAUCCAUAUAUGUACCAUGUGUAAAAUGUCAAUUUAUUAAAGUAAUGUCAUCUCAUA